UGCCAGCAGCCGCGGUAAUACGGAGAGUGCAAGCGUUACUCGGAAUCACUGGGCAUAAAGAGCACGUAGGUGGCAAAGUCAGUCAGGCGUGAAAGCCCUCGGCUCAACCGAGGAAUUGCGUUUGAUACUACUUCGCUAGAGUCUCGGAGAGGUUGGCGGAAUUCCAGGUGCAGGAGUGAAAUCCGUAGAUAUCUGGAGGAACACCAGUGGCGAAGGCGGCCAACUGGACGAGUACUGACACUGAGGUACGAAAGCGUGGGUAGCAAACAGGAUUAGAUA
rnacentral:rRNA from 1 species